UGGCGGCAGGCCUAACACAUGCAAGUCGAACGGUAACAGGAAGCAGCUUGCUGCUUUGCUGACGAGUGGCGGACGGGUGAGUAAUGUCUGGGAAACUGCCCGAUGGAGGGGGAUAACUACUGGAAACGGUAGCUAAUACCGCAUAACGUCGCAAGACCAAAGAGGGGGACCUUCGGGCCUCUUGCCAUCGGAUGUGCCCAGAUGGGAUUAGCUAGUAGGUGGGGUAAAGGCUCACCUAGGCGACGAUCCCUAGCUGGUCUGAGAGGAUGACCAGCCACACUGGAACUGAGACACGGUCCAGACUCCUACGGGAGGCAGCAGUGGGGAAUAUUGCACAAUGGGCGCAAGCCUGAUGCAGCCAUGCCGCGUGUAUGAAGAAGGCCUUCGGGUUGUAAAGUACUUUCAGCGGGGAGGAAGGGAGUAAAGUUAAUACCUUUGCUCAUUGACGUUACCCGCAGAAGAAGCACCGGCUAACUCCGUGCCAGCAGCCGCGGUAAUUCGGAGGGGUGCAAGCGUUAAUUGGAAUUACUGGGCGUAAAGCGCACGCAGGCGGUUUGUUAAGUCAGAUGGAAAAUCCCCGGGGCUCAACCUGGGAACUGCAUCUGAUACUGGCAAGCUUGAGUCUCGUAGAGGAGGGGUAGAUUUCCAGGUGUAGCGGUGAAAUGCGUAGAGAUCUGGAAGAAUACCGGUGGCGAAGGCGGCCCCCUGGACGAAGACUGACGCUCAGGUGCGAAAGCGUGGGGAGCAAACAGGAUUAGAUACCCUGGUAGUCCACGCCGUAAACGAUGUCGACUUGGAGGUUGUGCCCUUGAGGCGUGGCUUCCGGAGCUAACGCGUUAAGUCGACCGCCUGGGGAGUACGGCCGCAAGGUUAAAACUCAAAUGAAUUGACGGGGGCCCGCACAAGCGGUGGAGCAUGUGGUUUAAUUCGAUGCAACGCGAAGAACCUUACCUGGUCUUGACAUCCACGGAAGUUUUCAGAGAUGAGAAUGUGCCUUCGGGAACCGUGAGACAGGUGCUGCAUGGCUGUCGUCAGCUCGUGUUGUGAAAUGUUGGAUUAAGUCCCGCAACGAGCGCAACCCUUAUCCUUUGUUGCCAGCGGUCCGGCCGGGAACUCAAAGGAGACUGCCAGUGAUAAACUGGAGGAAGGUGGGGAUGACGUCAAGUCAUCAUGGCCCUUACGACCAGGGCUACACACGUGCUACAAUGGCGCAUACAAAGAGAAGCGACCUCGCGAGAGCAAGCGGACCUCAUAAAGUGCGUCGUAGUCCGGAUUGGAGUCUGCAACUCGACUCCAUGAAGUCGGAAUCGCUAGUAAUCGUGGAUCAGAAUGCCACGGUGAAUACGUUCCCGGGCCUUGUACACACCGCCCGUCACACCAUGGGAGUGGGUUGCAAAAGAAGUAGGUAGCUUAACCUUCGGGAGGGCGCUUACCACUUUGUGAUUCAUGACUGGGGUGAAG
rnacentral:rRNA from 1 species